AUUGAUUUUAUGCUUGCAUAAAUAAUUUUUGGAUUCGGAGCGAGUGGCGAACUGGUGAGUAACACGUGGGUAACCUGCCCCGAAGCGGGGGAUAACAUUUGGAAACAAAUGCUAAUACCGCAUAAUUAGUCAGAACCGCAUGGUUCCGACUUAAAAGAUGGCUCUGCUAUCACUUCGGGAUGGACCCGCGCCGUAUUAGUUAGUUGGUGAGAUAAAAGCCCACCAAGACGAUGAUACGUAGCCGACCUGAGAGGGUAAUCGGCCACAUUGGGACUGAGACACGGCCCAGACUCCUACGGGAGGCAGCAGUAGGGAAUCUUCCACAAUGGACGAAAGUCUGAUGGAGCAACGCCGCGUGAGUGAUGAAGGGUUUCGGCUCGUAAAACUCUGUUGUUAAAAAAGAACAAGCAUGAGAGUAACUGUUCAUGCUUUGACGGUAUUUAACCAGAAAGCCACGGCUAACUACGUGCCAGCAGCCGCGGUAAUACGUAGGUGGCAAGCGUUGUCCGGAUUUAUUGGGCGUAAAGCGAGCGCAGGCGGUUUUGUAAGUCUGCUGUGAAAGCCCUCAGCUCAACUGAGGAAGUGCAGUGGAAACUACAAAACUUGAGUACAGAAGAGGAAAGUGGAACUCCAUGUGUAGCGGUGAAAUGCGUAGAUAUAUGGAAGAACACCAGUGGCGAAGGCGGCUUUCUGGUCUGUUACUGACGCUGAGGCUCGAAAGCAUGGGUAGCGAACAGGAUUAGAUACCCUGGUAGUCCAUGCCGUAAACGAUGAAUACUAGGUGUUGGAGGGUUUCCGCCCUUCAGUGCCGCAGCUAACGCAUUAAGUAUUCCGCCUGGGGAGUACGACCGCAAGGUUGAAACUCAAAGGAAUUGACGGGGGCCCGCACAAGUGGUGGAGCAUGUGGUUUAAUUCGAUGCUACGCGAAGAACCUUACCAGCUCUUGACAUCUUCUGCCAACCUAAGAGAUUAGGCGUUCCCUUCGGGGACAGAAUGACAGGUGGUGCAUGGUUGUCGUCAGCUCGUGUCGUGAGAUGUUGGGUUAAGUCCCGCAACGAGCGCAACCCUUAUUAUUAGUUGCCAGCAUUUAGUUGGGCACUCUAGUGAGACUGCCGGUGAUAAA
rnacentral:rRNA from 1 species